AGAUACUGUCACUCAGAUGCUAAAGCGUGGGGAGCAACAGGAUUAGAUACCCUGGUAGUCCACGCCGUAAACGAUGUCUACUUGGAGGUUGUGACCUAUAGUCGUGGCUUUCGGAGCUAACGCGUUAAGUAGACCGCCUGGGGAGUACGGUCGCAAUAUUAAAACUCAAAUGAAUUGACGGGGGCCCGCACAAGCGGUGGAGCAUGUGGUUUAAUUCCAUGCAACGCUAACAACCUUACCUACUCUUGACAUCCAGAGAAUCUAGCGGAGACGCUGGAGUGCCUUCGGGAUCUCUGAAACAGGUGAUGCAUGGAUGUCCUCAGCUCUUGUUGUGAAAUGUUGGGUUAAUUCCCGCAACGAGCGCAACCCUUAUCCUUGUUUGCCAGCACGUAAUGGUGGGAACUCCACGGAGACUGCCGGUGAUAAACCGGAGGAAGGUGGGGACGACUUCAAGUCAUCAUGGCCCUUACGACUACGGCUACACACGUGCUACAAUGGCGUAUACAGAGGGCAGCGAUACCGCGAGGUGGAGUGAAUCUCACAAAGUACUGUCCCAGGGGGGAUUGGAGUCUGCAACUCUUCUCCCUGAACUCUGAAUCUCUACCGA
rnacentral:rRNA from 1 species